CUGUGUUUGGUCCUGAUAUAUACUGUGUCAACUUUAACUGUGUAGAAAUCCAAUACCAGGUAAAUUAUCAAACGUGCAAUUCUUCUCAUCAUUGCAAUAGCCAUGGAAUUUGCAACAAUUUGAAUCACUGCCAUUGUCAAAAUGGGUUUGCUCCUCCUGAAUGCCUGGAGAAGAAGGGAGAAUUUGGAAGCAUAGAUGAUGGACACAUACCUCCAUC